UUCAAAAUGAUGCUAGUAAUACCGCCCCAGUCUGAUGUUUUUCGUGACUGAUUGGUUUUUUACAUCUGAUGAA